UUAUUUUUUUGUUGCGAGAUGAACUAACAUGGAUGCGCUUAGUAACGGCGAGCGAACCGCGCAAAGCCCAAGCUUGAAAAUCUCCCUUGGAGAAUUGUAGUCUAUAGAAGUACCCUCUGCAACGGGCUGAGCUAAAGUCUCCUGGAAAGGGGCGUCAGAGAGGGUGAGAACCCCGUAAGCUCACGCUUUGUUGCCUCACGAGGUGCUUUCAAAGAGUCGGGUUGCUUGGGAAUGCAGCCCAAAUUUGGUGGUAAAUCCCAUCUAAGGCUAAAUAUUGGCGAGAGACCGAUAGCGAACAAGUACCGUGAGGGAAAGAUGAAAAGAACUUUGAAAAGAGAGUUAAAAAGUGCUUGAAAUUGUUGAGGGGGAAGCGUUUGAAUGCUAGGGUGCGCCUAGGCUUAUGGGUCCUUAACGGGGCUCUGUAUGUGCUAGGUGCUGGCCAGCAUGGGUUAGGCUAGUGGGAUAAAAGCUGGGGUUGAUACCCGGUCUAUGCCACUGGCUUGACCAAGGCGUGAAGACUGCCCUUGUCCUUCGGGAACUGCAGUCUCAAGAUGCUGGCAAAAGGCUUUCAACCGACCCGUCUUGAAACACGGACCAAGGAGUCUAACAUGUAUGCGAGUUGGUGGGUGGAAAACCCAUGAAGCGUAAGGAAACUGACUGGUGGGAUGGCCUGUGCCUGCACCAUCGACCGACCAUGCGUUUCUGCAAAAGGUUUGAGUGCGAGCAUACCUGUUGGGACCCGAAAGAUGGUGAACUAUGCCUGAGCAGGGUGAAGCCAGGUGAAAACCUGGUGGAGGCUCGUAGAUGUGACCUGACGUGCAAAUCGCUUUUCGGACUUGGGUAUAGGGGCGAAGACUAUCAC
rnacentral:rRNA from 1 species